UACAUAGGGUGCAAGCGUUGUCCGGAAUUAUUGGGCGUAAAGAGCUCGUAGGUGGUUCGUCACGUCGGAUGUGAAACUCUGGGGCUUAACCCCAGACCUGCAUUCGAUACGGGCGAGCUUGAGUAUGGUAGGGGAGUCUGGAAUUCCUGGUGUAGCGGUGGAAUGCGCAGAUAUCAGGAGGAACACCAAUGGCGAAGGCAGGACUCUGGGCCAUUACUGACACUGAGGAGCGAAAGCGUGGGGAGCGAACAGGAUUAGAAACCCGCGUAGUCC
rnacentral:rRNA from 1 species